CUCUUUCUUGAUUCGGUGGGUGGUGGUGCAUGGCCGUUCUUAGUUGGUGGAGCGAUUUGUCUGGUUAAUUCCGAUAACGAACGAGACUCUAGCCUGCUAAAUAGGUGACGGAUUUUAUCAAUUGAAAAAAAACCGAAGGGGGUACGGAGGCGCUGGGAUCAGGUGGCGGCGAUUCUGGGGCUUUCGGGCCGGCGGCGGUUGUCGUCUGCGGCGUGGGGUGUUGCGUGCGCAUGGCGGGGGCUCGUCUCUCGUCGCGUUGUGCGUGCGUCUCGCGUCCGUUGGCGGCUGUCGUCGUUGAACUCGGCUGUUUCGGGUCGUCGUCAUCCCCGGUGUUUCUCCUGCUCUCGCGUCCGUCACACGUCUUCUUAGAGGGACAAGCGGCGUCCAGCCGCGUGACAGUGAGCAAUAACAGGUCUGUGAUGCCCUUAGAUGUCCUGGGCCGCACGCGCGCUACACUGAAGGAAUCAGCGUGUUUCACUCUCCCUGUCCGAAAGGACCGGGUAACCGCUGAACCUCCUUCGUGGUUGGGAUUGGGGACUGCAAUGAUCC
rnacentral:rRNA from 1 species